rnacentral:tRNA from 1 species
GGCACCAUAGCUCAGCUGGUUAGAGCGCAGGACUCAUAAGCCUGAGGUCAGUAGUUCGAUCCUACUUGGUGCUACCA